rnacentral:rRNA from 1 species
UCAUCAUGCCCCUUAUGACCUGGGCUACACACGUGCUACAAUGGUUGGUACAACGAGUUGCGAGUCGGUGACGGCGAGCUAAUCUCUUAAAGCCAAUCUCAGUUCGGAUUGUAGGCUGCAACUCGCCUACAUGAAGUCGGAAUCGCUAGUAAUCGCGGAUCAGCACGCCGCGGUGAAUACGUUCCCGGGCCUU